AUGUGGAGGAAGAGGCUGGGUGAAGCAGGCUGCCCUGCACUGCUUAAUGAAGAAAAAAGACGUCUGAGGUUACUGAGAAGGAAGAGUGCAGGACCUGGGAGCGCCCGCUGCGCCCAGUCUCUAGAGAUGUCAUCGUCCGCUGGUUUAAGGAGGAGCAGCUGCCUCGCCGAGCUGGCUUCGAGAGGAACACCAAGUUCAUCGCCCCCUGGUUCCACGGAGGAAAUUAUCACUGUUUCAGGAGGAGAGUUACUUCAGGAACCCUGUGGACAGAGGGACAGCCCACCAGACUACCAUUUGUUGUUUGAAUAAUUUUUUUUCUUAUCAAUUGGAUUCUUUUUGGCAUCCUGUUUUUGAACUCAGCUUAAGAACUUCUCAACUCAAAUCCUAUGGCCUUCUGGGAGAUCCACCACUAUCCAGAGGAAAAAGUAGAUUAAUAUGUCUCAAGGGAUAUGACAUCUAUGGCAUAGGGCUACUGGUCUCAUCCCAGUGAUCAGGACAGAAAUUGCUAAUAGCUCAUGCAACUCUUUCAUGAAGAGCUUAGCUAUGACCUUAGAAGACAAAGCCUGUGUGUCAUGGCUUCCGUAAACUGAGCUCUUACAGUGCGUGGACCAUGUUUUAAUAAUCCAAAAUAAUUCCAGUGCCGACCCCUGAAUUUAACAUAUGGUAGACAUUCAGUAAAUGUUUAUUGAAUGAAUACAUGUCUUCUAAAAGUUUUCCAACACAAAUUAGCAGUGGUUUCUUGUAAAUUAUUUCCUACUCACCACUCUAUAAAAUCAUGGCAAUAAUAGAAGAUUAUGAAGGAUUUCUAUGGAGGACAUAAAUGCUGCAUCUUUCAUAAUCUCCAUUAUUACCCUCAUUGAUAUUAUCAUUGGAAUUAUCUAAGGCGAGCCCCAGUUUCCAGGGCAGCUGAUUGACACUGUCCUGCCUUCCUUAUUUAACCUCUUCUUUUGCCACUCGCCUCUAUCUUUGAAUCAUAUUUUGGCCCUCGUUUUGCAAUGGUUUUAUGUAAUCCUACAGAUGUCUUCAAGACCUGGGGUGACUUAUAAAUGCAAGAAUGGUUUUUAGAAAUCUGAUGAGGCCUCUGCUGUCUGGGAUGUGGCCCUCUCUAUGCAGGUUACUCCAAUGAUUAGCUCUGUCCUCAUUGUCCUUUUAAUUCCCUUGUCAACUUAAUCUCAGUAUGUUCCUUAUAUUAACAAGAAGACUCACCCAAUAACUCCUCAAUAACUCUCAGUGAUGGUAUCUAUUGGUGCAUACUUGUGUUCCACAGUUAUGGUCAUAUACACAGAGGUGUGUAUGAUGAAGAGAAGAUUACAGUCUUUACAGUCAAGAAGACUUGAGUUCAUAUCCUCACCCUGGAACUUACUAGCAUUAUAAUGCUUGCAGCAUUGUGUUUGGUGAGAGGAAAAGAAUGAAUGGAUUCUAGGGAUGUUAGGAAACAAUUUACUUUACCUGAUGGCUGUAUCCAACAUCUGUGCCCCACUUCUUCUCUUGCCUCACCUAUUCCUUAGAUUCUUGGUCACUUCUCUACCACAAGCCACCAGCACUAUAACCAGUUUUGCAUGGGUUCUGCUCUUCCUCCCCGUGUUGAUCAGUGUCAUGUGAGCAUAAGCCAAUGGUAGCUUGCCACAUGCCCCAUCUCCUGUUGCUGCAGAGGCAUAAGACAGAAGAGAUGGGAAGUGAAUGCCCCAUGUGGUGAAUCUGGGAUGAAUGGGAGUCACAGGCUGGUAGAUCGCUUUUUCCCCCUUCUUCCUCCUGGAGGAACUAUUCUGAGAGGCAUCUGUUUGUAUGGUCUUUUAGAAGACAGUCCUGCAAGAUCGAGCAACCAGUCAUGAUGAAACCAAGUGGUGGCCGGAUCAGUAUGACACCCCACUGCCCCUGUUUUUUUCUUCUCUGCCUUGCCGUGCUCUCUCCUGUUGCUCUGGGAUUGCAUUUCUGAAUGAAGUAGCAGCUCAUAAGCUUUUGCCACAGGCUCUGCCUUUUGGGGAAUCCAGGAUAAGAACCCAUCAUACAGAAGUGUUCAAUGGUAUCAAUUUUGCAACUCAGCUCCAUGGCUUCCGCCGGUCUGCCUGUCUCACUACAUGCAUAAAGUGAAAUGAUGGAAGGAACCUGCUUUCUGAACUCUUAAUGUGCCUUCAUUGAUUAUCAUUAAAAUUAUCAUUAAAAUUUCCUUAUUUCUAUGGACUCAGAGGAACGAUGUUUUAGUUUUGGCUCUCUGAUUUACCAACUACGUGACUUUGUCCAAGUCAUUUAACUUCAGUAAACCUCGGUAUGACUGAAAAGGGAAUUUUCUGUAUGGCCAUCACUAGGUUUUUUUGCGGGUUAGUUAAAUGAUAAACAUGAAAGCUCUGUCCAAAUGAAAAAGGUAUUUCUAACAACAACCACAAUAACAACAACAACUUAGUGCUUAGCCCAUGAUGUGUCAGGGGAUAUGAUGUGAUGAUUUUCAAGGUGUUGGAAGAAACUUCUGUUCCAAGAACUACCAGCAGCUUUGAAAGCAGACCAAGAUGGGUUGAGACCCUGAAUCCCUGGGCUGUUGUUCCUGUCACCCCUAAUUAAUAUGUAAGAGACAACAGCUGGGUUUUCCAUCCCUAACACAUUUAUUUCAUUUUAUUUGGGGCCUGCAAUUUCUGCAUGUCUCAUAUAUUUUAGGUUUUACCUUUUUACCUGGCUUUAAAAUAAAUCCCUUGUAAGUUGUCCUGCAAAUGAAAUUACUGUGUGGAAAACUGCAAUUUCAUCUUGAGAGUUUUAUUAUGCUAAUAAAUGUCAGGAUUCUCAA
rnacentral:sRNA from 1 species